GAUGAACGCUGGCGGCGUGCCUAAUACAUGCAAGUCGAGCGAACAGACGAGUAGCUGUAUCAUCUGACGAUAGCCGCAGGUGGGGGUAUAACAUGGGGACAAGUUACGUAUUAGGCUGGAAUCACUUCGAGACACCGGAGCUACUGCCGAAUAAUUUAUUGAGCCGCAUGGUUCAAUAGUGAACGCCGGCUUUGCUGUCACUGAUAGAUUGAUCCGCGCCGCAUUAGCUAGUUGGUAAGGUAACGGCUUACCAAGGCAACGAUUCGUAGCCGACCUGAGAGGGUGAUCGGCCACACUGGAACUGAGACACGGUCCAGACUCCUACGGGAGGCAGCAGUAGGGAAUCUUCCGCAAUGGGCGAAAGCUUGACGGAGCAACGCCGCGUGAGUGAUGAAGGCCUUCGGAUCGUAAAACUCUGUUAUUAGGGAAGAACAAAUGGGUAAGUAACUAUGCGCGGCUUGACGGUACCUAAUCAGAAAGCCACGGCUAACUACGUG
rnacentral:rRNA from 1 species